rnacentral:rRNA from 1 species
UGGGGAAUUUUGGACAAUGGGCGAAAGCCUGAUCCAGCAAUGCCGCGUGUGAAGAAGGCCUUCGGGUUGUAAAGCACUUUUGUCCGGAAAGAAAUCCUUGGCUCUAAUACAGUCGGGGGAUGACGGUACCGGAAGAAUAAGCACCGGCUAACUACGUGCCAGCAGCCGCGGUAAUACGUAGGGUGCAAGCGUUAAUCGGAAUUACUGGGCGUAAAGCGUGCGCAGGCGGUUUGCUAAGACCGAUGUGAAAUCCCCGGGCUCAACCUGGGAACUGCAUUGGUGACUGGCAGGCUAGAGUAUGGCAGGAGGGGGGUAGAAUUCCACGUGUAGCAGUGAAAUGCGUAGAGAUGUGGAGGAAUACCGAUGGCGAAGGCAGCCCCCUGGGCCAAUACUGACGCUCAUGCACGAAAGCGCGGGGAGCAAACAGGAUUAGAUACCCUGGUAGUCCACGCCCUAAACGAUGUCAACUAGUUGUUGGGAUUCAUUUCCUUAGUAACGUAGCUAACGCGUGAAGUUGACCGCCU